rnacentral:rRNA from 1 species
GAUGUCUGAUUAGCUAGUUGGUGAGGUAAAGGCUUACCAAGGCGWCGAUCAGUAGCUGGUCUGAGAGGACGACCAGCCACACUGGGACUGAGACACGGCCCAGACUCCUACGGGAGGCAGCAGUGGGGAAUUUUGGACAAUGGGGGAAACCCUGAUCCAGCCAUGCCGCGUGAGUGAAGAAGGCCUUCGGGUUGUAAAGCUCUUUCAGCCGGAACGAAACGGUCACGGCUAAUACCUGUGACUACUGACGGUACCGGAAGAAGAAGCACCGGCUAACUACGUGCCAGCAGCCGCGGUAAUACGUAUGGUGCAAGCGUUAAUCGGAAUUACUGGGCGUAAAGCGUGCGCAGGCGGUUUUGUAAGUCAGAUGUGAAAUCCCCGGGCUUAACCUGGGAACU